AGAAAAGUGACCGCUGCCCCGCGCAGGGGCGACGCUAAUAGACCGACACGAUCACAGGUGCUUCACGCGACCGGAAGCCGACCACAGAAAAGCCGGAAAAAGCCCCAA
rnacentral:sRNA from 2 species